UGGAAAUGAUGAAAUAAAGAUAAUUGGGUGCUGAGUGUUAUAUGAUUAGAAAUUUUUCAUAUCUAAGUUAAGUAAUUAAUCUAGGUUUAAUAUUUUAUAGAUAGUUAAUAGAGUGUGUGUGUGCAUGCGUGUGUGUGUGUGUGUGUGUGUGCUUGUGGAGGCUAUGGAAAGGGGGCACUGAUUGGUGAUGCUGAUAUUGGAGUGCAUCUGAGGCUGUUGUAGACAUACAUGGGUUAUUGAUUACAACAUUGCCAAUGAUUAUAACCCAAGAACAGCUCACCUAAGUAGCCUAGCACCCUAAAAUCUUUAACAGGUUCAUUAAACAUGGUCCUGUGAUCUGAUCCAA